GCCGGGCGCGAUGGCGCAUGCCUGUAGUCCCAGCUACUUGGGAGGCUGAGGUGGGAGGAUCACUUGAGCCUAGGAGUUCUGGGCUGUAGUCUGCUAUGCCGAUCGGGUGUCCGCACUAAGUUCGGCAUCAAUAUGGUGACCUCCUGGGAGUGGGGAACCACCAGGUUGCCUAAGGAGGGGUGAACCGGCCCAGGUUGGAAACAGAGCAGGUCAAAACUCCUGUGCUGAUCAAUAGUGGGAUCGCACCUGUGAAUAGCCACUGCACUCCCGCCUAGGCAACAUAGUGAGACCCCAUCUCUA
rnacentral:SRP_RNA from 1 species